rnacentral:rRNA from 1 species
UACGUAGGGGGCAAGCGUUGUCCGGAAUUAUUGGGCGUAAAGAGCGUGUAGGCGGUCCGGUAAGUCAGCUGUGAAAGUCAAGGGCUCAACCCUUGAAAGCCGGUUGAUACUGUCGGGCUAGAGUCCGGAAGAGGCGAGUGGAAUUCCCGGUGUAGCGGUGAAAUGCGCAGAUAUCGGGAGGAACACCAAUGGCGAAGGCAGCUCACUACGGAUUUAUUGACACUGAGGCACGAAAGCGUGGGGAUCGAACAGG